rnacentral:lncRNA from 1 species
ACCACUGGCAGGACACCCAAGCUAGCCCGCCAGGCCUCCAUAGAGCUGCCCAGCAUGGCCGUGGCCAGUACCAAGAGUCGGUGGGAGACGGGUGAGGUACAGGCUCAGUCUGCAGCCAAGACUCUGUCCUGCAAGGAUAUUGUGGCUGGAGACAUGAGCAACAAAAGCUUCUGGGAGCAGAAGGGAGGCUCCAAGACCUCAUCAACAA